rnacentral:rRNA from 1 species
UACGGGGGGAGCAAGCGUUGUUCGGAUUUACUGGGCGUAAAGGGCGCGUAGGCGGCCUCUGCAAGUCGACUGUGAAAUCUCCGGGCUUAACCCGGAAAGGUCAGCCGAUACUGCAGGGCUAGAGUGCAGAAGGGGCAACUGGAAUUCUUGGUGUAGCGGUGAAAUGCGUAGAUAUCAAGAGGAACACCUGCGGCGAAGGCGGGUUGCUGGGCCGACACUGACGCUGAAGCGCGAAAGCCAGGGGAGCGAACGGG